AGUGAACGCUGGCGGUAGGCCUAACACAUGCAAGUCGAACGGCAGCACAGUAAGAGCUUGCUCUUACGGGUGGCGAGUGGCGGACGGGUGAGGAAUACAUCGGAAUCUACUUUUUCGUGGGGGAUAACGUAGGGAAACUUACGCUAAUACCGCAUACGACCUACGGGUGAAAGCAGGGGAUCUUCGGACCUUGCGCGAUUGAAUGAGCCGAUGUCGGAUUAGCUAGUUGGCGGGGCAAAGGCCCACCAAGGCGACGAUCCGUAGCUGGUCUGAGAGGAUGAUCAGCCACACUGGAACUGAGACGCGGUCCAGACUCCUACGGGAGGCAGCAGUGGGGAAUAUUGGACAAUGGGCGCAAGCCUGAUCCAGCCAUACCGCGUGGGUGAAGAAGGCCUUCGGGUUGUAAAGCCCUUUUGUUGGGAAAGAAAAGCAGCAGGUUAAUACCCCGCUGUUCUGACGGUACCCAAAGAAUAAGCACCGGCUAACUUCGUG
rnacentral:rRNA from 1 species